rnacentral:lncRNA from 1 species
AAUUCUAGUAGAAACUCGAAAAAAAUUAUACUAUUUAACAAUCGAAGCUAUACUAGUCGCAUUUGGAUGUAUAUAUAUAUAGAAUUAUACUACUAUACUAUCAAUAGUACCAAGCCCUUGGUACUAUUGAGUUUUCGGCCGUUGAAUGAAAGGAUGUGCGGUUAAUAUAAUAGUGGUCCCCUAGGAUUGAGUGGGUGGUUGGUUUAAUAGUAUAAUCUAACGGGUGAAAAUGAUCAAAGGGUAGAUCUAACGGUAGAAAACUCAAUAGUACAAGGGCUUGGUACUAGGGUUUAGGGUUGGUACUAUCGAUAGUAUAGUAGCGAGAUAUAUAUAUAUAUAUAUAUAUAUAUAGUUGAGCUAGAAUACUAUCGGUAGCAAACGGGCUCCAUUGCCACCCAUUUGUUUUUGAUGAUAGAGCCUCCAAAUUGACGAUCGACACCGUUGAAAAUGAUCUAUACCACUUGAAGUAUAUAGAAAUCAAAUUUCAUACUUUUUGAUAUUGUUCUCUUGUUCAUCAAGUGGGCGUAAAAAUGAACGACUGAAAAUGAAUAUCCUCUAAAAAGUGAUGAUAGGAAUUUUGUAAUCAAGAUCGAGAGCAUAUAUGUUGUUCUAAAUAGUUUAAAGAAUUUUCUAACCAAAAUUCAAUUCAUUUGGCUAGCAUUACACCGUUAAACAAGAAAACACCUCAAAUCUACCAUUAAAAUUACAAAUUUUGAAAUCCGUUGAUCAUUAGGUCAAUAAUGUCGAAAAGGUUUGAAAUUUGAUUUCUAGAUACUUCAAGUGGUAUAGAUCAUGUUCAACGGCGCCGAUCGUCGAUUUGGAGGCUCCAUCAUCGAAAACAAAUGGGUGGCAACGGAGCCCGUUUGCUACCGAUGGCAUUCCAGCUCAACUCAUAUAUAUAUAUAUAUAUAUAUAUAUAUAUAUAUAGAGAGAGAGAGAGAGAGAGAGAGAGAGAGAGAGAGAGAGUUGAGCUAGAAUACCCCCAAAAGCACCAAAAGAAGUGCUUUUGAGUUUUUAGCCAUUGGAUAGAGAGAUGUAGGGUUGAGAUGAUGAUGGUAGGUGGUGGUAGGUGGAAUAGUGUUUGAUCUAAAGCCUAA